rnacentral:pre_miRNA from 12 species
CCUGUCUUGGAAAUGCUAAGCACUUACAACUGUUUGCAGAGGAAACUGAGACUUUGUAACUACAUCUCAGUCUCAUCUGCAAAGAAGUAAGUGCUUUGCCAAGUCCCUCAGAGGACA